CCUACGGGAGGCAGCAGUGAGGAAUAUUGGUCAAUGGUCGGGAGACUGAACCAGCCAAGCCGCGUGAGGGAUGAAGGUACAGAGUAUCGUAAACCUCUUUUGUCAGGGAACAAAGGCGGGGACGUGUCCCCGGAUGAGUGUACCUGAAGAAAAAGCAUCGGCUAACUCCGUGCCAGCAGCCGCGGUAAUACGGAGGAUGCGAGCGUUAUCCGGAUUUAUUGGGUUUAAAGGGUGCGCAGGCGGACUGUCAAGUCAGCGGUAAAAGCCCGGGGCUCAACCCCGGCCCGCCGUUGAAACUGGCAGUCUCGAGUUGGAGAGAAGUAUGCGGAAUGCGCGGUGUAGCGGUGAAAUGCAUAGAUAUCGCGCAGAACUCCGAUUGCGAAGGCAGCAUGCCGGCUCCACACUGACGCUGAUGCACGAAAGCGUGGGUAUCGAACAGGAUUAGAUACCCUGGUAGUC
rnacentral:rRNA from 1 species